UUAAACGGCCGCGGUAUUUUGACCGUGCAAAGGUAGCAUAAUCAGUUGUCUUAUAAUUGAAGACUGGAAUGAAUGGUUAAACGAAAUUAGAGCUGUUUCAUUUGUAUUUAUUGGAAAUUGGCUUUUAAAUGAAGAGAUUUAAAUUUGAUUAAGGGACAAGAAGACCCUAUUGAGCUUUAAAUAAUUUUGAGGGUUAAAGUUAUUAUAAAGAUCUAUGAUCUUUAGUAUUUUUUUAGUUGGGGCGACUAAGGAACAGGCGAAGCUUCCUUUAUUUAUUUAAUUGAUAGAUUUUGAUCCUGUAUUACUGAUUAAGAGAAAUAGUUACCAUAGGGAUAACAGCAUAAUCUUCUUGGAGAGUUCUUAUUAAAAAGGGGGGUUGUGACCUCGAUGUUGGACUAAAAUAUCCUAAGGGUGUAGAAGCUUUUAAGGGUUGG
rnacentral:rRNA from 1 species